rnacentral:rRNA from 1 species
GAGUUUGAUCAUGGCUCAGAUUGAACGCUGGCGGCAUGCCUUACACAUGCAAGUCGAACGGCAGCACGGGAGCUUGCUCCUGGUGGCGAGUGGCGAACGGGUGAGUAAUGCAUCGGAACGUAUCCUGGGGUGGGGGAUAACGUAGCGAAAGUUACGCUAAUACCGCAUAUUCUGUGAGCAGGAAAGCGGGGGACCUUCGGGCCUCGCGCUCCUGGAGCGGCCGAUGUCGGAUUAGCUAGUUGGUGAGGUAAAGGCUCACCAAGGCGACGAUCCGUAGCAGGUCUGAGAGGAUGAUCUGCCACACUGGAACUGAGACACGGUCCAGACUCCUACGGGAGGCAGCAGUGGGGAAUUUUGGACAAUGGGGGCAACCCUGAUCCAGCCAUGCCGCGUGAGUGAAGAAGGCC